CGCCUGCCAGCUGCUCCAGUGCCAGAAGCGGGUGCACGCGAUUCCGUUGUCCCCAAAUUCAGUCCUCAGGAUGUACCGUAUGGCACCUCACUCGCAGUAUGCCCCUCUGCACCUAGUGCCCAAAAUGCUUAAUGAACCAUCCCCUGCCGCCCUGGACUCUAGAGGUGCAUUCAUUGUACAUGUUCUGUCUUCGAUCUAUGUCUGGGUUGGAAUGAAGUGUGAUCCGGUAAUGGAGAAAGAUGCAAGAGCUGCAGCCUUUCAGGUUGUGAGGUAUGAGAAGGUGCAGGGGCACAUCAAGGUUGUGAGAGAAGGUCUGGAGCAGCAGGAAUUUUGGGAUGCCUUUUCAAGUACGCCGCUUAAUUCAGAUAGUAACUCAAAGGUUAGCAAGGACCAGAUUGAUUCAGCAUCCAAGAGUAACCCAGGAAGCCGGAAGGUGGAGUC
rnacentral:lncRNA from 1 species